rnacentral:piRNA from 1 species
UGGCUAACAAACCUUCUGAGACAGAAAGG